AGAAGACUAACAAGGAUUCCCCUAGUAACUGCGAGUGAAGCGGGAAAAGCUCAAAUUUAAAAUCUGGUAGUCUUUGGCUGCCCGAGUUGUAAUCUAGAGAAGCGUUAUCCGCGUUGGACCGUGUAUAAGUCUCCUGGAAUGGAGCGUCAUAGAGGGUGAGAAUCCCGUCUUUGACACGGACUACCAGGGCUUUGUGAUGCGCUCUCAAAGAGUCGAGUUGUUUGGGAAUGCAGCUCUAAAUGGGUGGUAAAUUCCAUCUAAAGCUAAAUAUUGGCGAGAGACCGAUAGCGAACAAGUACCGUGAGGGAAAGAUGAAAAGAACUUUGGAAAGAGAGUUAAACAGUACGUGAAAUUGUUGAAAGGGAAACGCUUGAAGUCAGUCGCGUUGACCAGGGAUCAACCUUGCUUUUGCAUGGUGUACUUCCUGAUUAACGGGUCAGCAUCAAUUUUGACCAGUGGAAAAAGUUCGAGGGAAUGUGGCAUCUUCGGAUGUGUUAUAGCCCUUGGUCGUAUACAUUGGUUGGGAUUGAGGAACUCAGCACGCCGCAAGGCCGGGUUUUUAACCACGUUCGUGCUUAGGAUGCUGGCAUAAUGGCUUUAAUCGACCCGUCUUGAAACACGGACCAAGGAGUCUAACAUGCCUGCGAGUGUUUGGGUGGAAAACCCAAGCGCGUAAUGAAAGUGAAAGUUGGGAUCUCUGUCGUGGGGAGCACCGACGCCCGGACCAGACCUUUUGUGACGGAUCCGCGGUAGAGCAUGUAUGUUGGGACCCGAAAGAUGGUGAACUAUGCCUGAAUAGGGUGAAGCCAGAGGAAACUCUGGUGGAGGCUCGUAGCGAUUCUGACGUGCAAAUCGAUCGUCGAAUUUGGGUAUAGGGCGAAAGACUAAUCGAUCCAG
rnacentral:rRNA from 1 species